UUUGCUUCUUUAAUGGGCUGAUCAGCGAGUGAAUUUGGCAAAACUAGGAACCAAAUCGUUGUGGAGAUACCGGCGACGCUUCAACCUUGCAAGUGCUAAUCCUACGAAGGAGCAGCUAAUUAAGGCUGUGCAACAACAUUUUUCUUCACAGCAGGUGGACGAGAUACAAGUAAUUGCAGAGUUCAUUAGUACAGCCAAGAGAUUAAAAUCAUUGGACGGACGUUGAGAUUCGAUAGCAGAAAGUCGUGUGUGCCUGUAAUAUAUAUAGUACAUACAUAUGAACCCUUAGUUUAGCUCUAGUUAUUGACUGCUAAUGGAGAAGCUGGCUGUUAUCUAACUUGUUCUCAAACUUCAGAAUAACCUUUAUUUAUGUGCCGUAGUCCGGUUAACAUUAUAUUUCAUAUUCAUGCUCAUCGUAAUUUAUAUAUUAGUCGAAUCUUGUAAAUUAAGGUGGUCGAUUUGGAGCAUGGAUGAUUUUGUGUUCUUGAAUUUUCGGACUUAUAUUGUAUUCACGUGGAAUCUUUGACUUA